ensembl:lncRNA
GAGAUCUGGGCUUGAACAAAGCGCAUAGACACGAUCUUUACAUCUUUUGUAAUCUUUCUUUCUCCCUGUCUGGGUGUCUGUCUCACUUUCUCUCUACCCCCUUUCCAUUAGCUAGCGAACGUCUUCUCCAUUGUUCAGUUUCUAUAACAUACACUGCCCCACUUUAAGAUGCCAUACAAUACACACUGCACAUUAUUCCUAACAGGAGGAGGAGUUAUUUUUAGAAGCACAAUCCCAACCCUUUCUUCAUGCUGUGAAAUGCUGUGUUUAUCUGAGCUCAUCUGUAUUUUUUUUUAAGAUAGGUUGCAUUUAGCACUUUUUUGGGUUAUUGUGUUUUAUCGAACAACCAGUAUUCCAAUGUAGCACAAAAACUGGAGGCUCAUCUUGUAUACGUGUUCUAAUAUGACCACAAGGGGGCGACAGAGCACUUUUUAAAGCACAGUGUACAUGGCGCGAGUGGACGCGUCAGAUUACAGCAUAUGGCUCUGGCCCACACUGCUUUUGUCUGUGUGGCUGGUGGGAGAUACUUGGUUAUUGUUUAGCGUAGGAGUGUGCGGUUUGGCUCCAAGGUUUUGGGACUGUUCUGGGAUCUUCUACCCAAAUCCUGAGCACGAUGGGAAAACUCUUACACAAUCCUCCACAAAAGAUCAGACAUCGGUGGAUCUUUUUAGGUUUUAUUUUUUCCAUUUAUCUUUUACCGUUCGGGAUUUGGUAUAAAUGCUGCUUCUUUCCAGCCUUGUGGAACAACACUUAUUAGGACUGGGUUCAGGACGUGGCGCAUGUUAAACCCCUCUUACUGUGACUGUUUCCUGCUGUUCUCCUUCUGCUCACCUUUGACCUCCAACCCUCUCCAUUUCUGCUACUAUGAAAACAAAUGUGAAGUCUUGAAACAAGUCGGACAUCAAGCACAUAAAGCUCUGACCCGGUUUCUCACAUCUGUGUAGAAAAUCCUCCUUCAGUCCUGUUGGCGAGAGAUAACAGCCAAAGCAUGUAACAUGUCGCUUUAAGCCUUAUGGCUGCUCACAAGACUUGACUGUAUGAUAUAAAACAUUUCCACAGUGGCCUGUAUUGGUAAACUAAUGAAAAAAAAACAACAACCAAGAUUUGUAGCCUGAUUUCCUCUGUACAGAAGUCAUGACUAUAUAUAAAUACAUAGAUUAUAUAUAUAUAUAUAUAUUUAACAAACAUGAGUUCAAAGUGAUUAAUGUGAAUGCUUGGGGCAUAUUAAUUGCAGAGUGUGUGUGUGUAUUACUGUAUUUUCUUUUGGUUCCUUUGUAUUUUUUUAACAAUUUAUUUUGGUUGCAUUAAAAAUUCAAAUGUAUAAAGUGAAGCAUUAAAC